rnacentral:rRNA from 1 species
UACAGAGGUCUCAAGCGUUGUUCGGAUUCAUUGGGCGUAAAGGGUGCGUAGGUGGCGCGCUAAGUCAGGUGUGAAAUUUCGGAGCUUAACUCCGAAACUGCAUUUGAUACUGGCGUGCUUGAGGACUGGAGAGGAGACUGGAAUUCAUGGUGUAGCAGUGAAAUGCGUAGAGAUCAUGAGGAAGACCAGUGGCGAAGGCGGGUCUCUGGACAGUUCAUGACACUGAGGCACGAAGGCCAGGGGAGCAAACGGG